rnacentral:rRNA from 1 species
UACGUAGGGUGCAAGCGUUAAUCGAAAUUACUGGGCGUAAAGCGUGCGCAGGCGGUUGUGCAAGACCGAUGUGAAAUCCCCGGGCUUAACCUGGGAAUGGCAUUUGGGACUGCAAGGCUGGAGUGCGGCAGAGGAGACUGGAAUUCCUGGUGUAGCAGUGAAAUGCGUAGAUAUCAGGAGGAACACCGAUGGCGAAGGCAGGUCUCUGGGCUGACACUGACGCCCAUGCACGAAAGCGUGGGGAGCAAACAGG